AGAGCUUGCUCUCUGGGUGACGAGCGGCGGACGGGUGAGUAAUGUCUGGGAAACUGCCUGAUGGAGGGGGAUAACUACUGGAAACGGUAGCUAAUACCGCAUGACGUCUUCGGACCAAAGUGGGGGACCUUCGGGCCUCACGCCAUCAGAUGUGCCCAGAUGGGAUUAGCUAGUAGGUGGGGUAAUGGCUCACCUAGGCGACGAUCUCUAGCUGGUCUGAGAGGAUGACCAGCCACACUGGAACUGAGACACGGUCCAGACUCCUACGGGAGGCAGCAGUGGGGAAUAUUGCACAAUGGGCGCAAGCCUGAUGCAGCCAUGCCGCGUGUAUGAAGAAGGCCUUCGGGUUGUAAAGUACUUUCAGCGAGGAGGAAGGCAUUGUGGUUAAUAACCACAGUGAUUGACGUUACUCGCAGAAGAAGCACCGGCUAACUCCGUGCCAGCAGCCGCGGUAAUACGGAGGGUGCAAGCGUUAAUCGGAAUUACUGGGCGUAAAGCGCACGCAGGCGGUUGAUUAAGUCAGAUGUGAAAUCCCCGAGCUUAACUUGGGAACUGCAUUUGAAACUGGUCAGCUAGAGUCUUGUAGAGGGGGGUAGAAUUCCAGGUGUAGCGGU
rnacentral:rRNA from 1 species